CUCUUAUCCAGAGAGGUGGAGGGACCGGCCCUGUGAAACCUCGGCAACCCUGACGGGAGAAAUUCCCGGCGGAAGGUGCCAAUUCCGGCAGACGGAGGUUCUGGAAGAUGAGAG
rnacentral:ncRNA from 2 species